UAGGAAAUAGUAAAGCCUGACCCAAUCUUACUAGGGACUGUGAACACACCCGUCCCGUCUGUCGAAGCUACACAAUCUGACACCAAACCAUAUAGUCAGUGGAGAGUAAGUCCAACCAGGACUAAACGACACCAACGCAAAAGCAUAAAGCCCGACUCCGGAGUGGCACUCGUGGGCGCUACCCAACCGAGUAUAUAAGCGUAUCUUUGUAGAGCUCAAUCAGGCUCUCACAGGCUAUAGUCAAGUAAACAGGGUCUAACAACUGAACUCACGUGCCCUCGGCACAAUCUGAUAUAAAAACAGCAAUCUGAAUCUACCGUCAACCUCAACGGCACCCGACAAUCCGGAAUAGCCUAAACACUGCUGUAAAAAUACACUCGGCACCUCAGUACGAGCGUAAAUAUAUUCUACACUAUUCUAGAUAUCCACCGCCCAUAAACUGCGGUGAUACAAAUAAACUACGGCUCCUAUAGCUAAAUCUGGUAGUUUGUUCAAAUGGCGGUGCAGAAACGUCAGUUUUCUCCUAAGUCAAAUCUAAGUCCAACAUGCAUAUUUUAGCUAAUUUUCUACGCUCCAAUUCAAAUUCAUAGGCAUGAAAUU
rnacentral:lncRNA from 1 species